GAAAUCAUCUGUGAUCUAUAAAAUGUCAAGUUAGCGCCAACAUGUUAUGGCAGCUCCUUGAUUGCAUGAAAUCAUCUGUGAUCUAUAAAAUGUCAAGUUAGCGCCAACAUGUAAUGGCUGCUCCUUGUACCAAGAUCCAAACAUUGUAGUAGGUGGGUACAAAUACAAACCCUACAGAUGAUGGGAGGUAAAUUUGUUCGCGUCCGUGUAAUGGUAAUCAUUUAUUAGAGAUUCUUUCAUAUUACUUUGAAUGUUUUACAAUUGCACUUUUAAGAAAGUAAUUUAUAUUCUCAUUUCAAUAAUUAAAUAUCUUUACCACUACACACGUGCCUCCUGGGUAAUGCUAAAUGAACAAUUAAAUUGCCUGUGUAUAUAAAGUUGCAGGUAUAUUAUCAAGAAUACUGGUAAGAAUGAAAAACACAGCUACUGUCCAUCUUGUCAAUGUUUGAGAUGUUUGAGUUCAGAUGUGAGUAAUUUUGAUUCUACUAUGAACCAACAUUUAUCAAUAGUCCAGUCUUUUGAGAAACCUUCCAGAGGUCUGUGUGUUGUUUGUUAACAAGAGGAAAAUGCUUGUAAAAAUGGAAACAAAGAGGCAGAAGACAAAGACCAAACUUUUAAAAAUGUCAUAAAAGUGAUAGAAGAGCAGAAGAAAGCUUUAGUUGCUGCUAAAAAGUCUGUGUUAAAAGAUAAUUAUACUCGUGUAUCAACGUUAAGAACUACCAAUUUAAACGGAUUUGUCAAUAAAUGCUGAAUAUUGUUAGAUUUAUUAUUUAUUAAAUUUGAUAUUGUUUUACUA